rnacentral:rRNA from 1 species
UUAGGUUAAGUUAUGAAGGGCGCAUGGUGAAUGCCUUGGUACUAGGAGCCGAUGAAGGACGGGACUAACACCGAUAUGCUUCGGGGAGCGGUAAGUACGCUUUGAUCCGGAGAUUUCCGAAUGGGGAAACCUAAUCAGCUUAGUCGCUGAUUGCUUGACUAGUGAAUACAUAGCUAGCAAGAGGUAGACGCA